rnacentral:lncRNA from 1 species
CAGAAAAGAGUAUGUUGCGUUGUAAUUUAUUUUACUGAGUUGUUGAAUCCCAUCAACCUGUGGUUUUGGCGCUGGCGAUUCGAAUAUUUCAAAGAUAAGGUUCCAAGCUGUUGGAGUAGGCUCCCACGUCGAAGGUUGGGUGUUAAACCUUACAGUACUUCCAAAAUUCCCCGGCCAACCAUUGUAGCGAACUUGUUGGCCAGCGUUGUUUAGAUACAAGAGGAGGCCAUCAUCUCCAAGCACUAAGCUGUACUUUCGAUCGGAGCCAUCAACAUCAGAAGUUCGACUGACAAGCUUGUUUACGCCACUCCCGCGAAGGGACUGCCCAACUAGUAACGAAUCAACUGGAUAAUCAAAGCUUUGCCAAAUGAACUUUCCCUUUGUAUCAUACAGCACAAGGUUGCCAUUCUGGAGUAAUUUGAUGCCCGUGACACCCUUGUUAGCCGUGUUGGUUUGCCACACAAGGCCGCCGUCAGAGUCGGCUAGGACCAAGUUUCCAUCCCGGCCGAAAGAAAGGGUGGCGUUUUCUUUCACGGGGUGGUUGCGGUUGGCGUCCCAAACCCAUCGCAUUAGGCCCUCGUCAUCUGGGAUGCCAACACGAAUGCCAAGCACGAAAGAAGUUGGGGUGGUGUUGUAGAAACACAGUCUGAAGGGGAAUGUGUAGAAAUCAUAGACAUCAUUGGUUAUGAUGCGAUAAGUUGCCCCAUACUCAGCUGUGGGUACGAAAUUUUGGAAUUCUCCCAGUGGACCUGUGUUGACAAUUUUGAAGGUAUUGUUUGUUGGCACUUGAGCUCUGGUGCUAAUGGCCAAGAAACAGAGGAGGAGGAGAAUGCUAAGACAGGGUGAAAAUGGAAAGGUACGACGAGCCAUUGGAAUUCUUUUUGUGCAAUAAGGAAUAAAGGGCAAGCUAAUCAGUUGGAAAUGGAAUGAGAGAUAUGAAGUGGGUUGUAACCAUUUGGUAUUUAUAGAUUUUUUUUAUUGGUUUUUCUGCAUACAAUUGUUGAAAUUUGAAAACUGAUCAAAAAAAUAUUGAAAAUUGAAAUUUGAAUUUCAACGUCAAAGUUGGUAACCUGCAAACAAGAUUGAGCAUCCAUCUAGUAACAUAGUAUUACAUAAUUUUGUUCUAUGUCGUUUUGGUUGUCAAAUGAUUAUAAUGUACAACACAAUUUUUUAUAAGGGAAAACGAAACAAAUAAUCCCUUACAUAUUACUUAUUUAAUCAUUCACAUACAUAAAAAUGCAAAUUCAUCCUUUAAAUAUAUAAGGGAUAAUUUUAGAAACCUCCCUGAGGUUUCUAAUAAUUUCACAAAGCUCCCCUUAAUAUUUCAAAAUUACACAUACCUCCCCUAUUGCUGUAAAAGUACUCUACUACCCCUAUAUAGGAUACUUAAUGACUUUUUCUUUUUGGAAAUUUCAGAAAUUUCAAGAAAAACUAAAAUUGACUUGUUUUUUCUCUCUCUCUCUCUCUCUACCUUACUCUUUCUUCCAUUUCCUUUUUUGCUAAAUUCCUACCACUCAUUCCUCUCUACCUAAUAUUCUUCCUCCAAUUCACGACCAAAUUCUAUCUAUUAUCCCUUACCCGUAUUUAUCCCCCUCCUUCCCUUUUUCUUCUUCUUCUUUUAUCUCUAUUCUCAUCUCUUUUUUGCAAAUAUGAUCAAGUUCAUCCUUUUUAUCCUUUUAAUUCUAAGUGUAAUGGGUUUGAUUUUUCUGCGUCUAUUUAUUUUAUCCAAUGUUAGUUGAUUAUGGGUGAUAAAACUUAGUGAUGUCAAAAGUCAAGAAUUUGAGGGAUGGAUGUGCUUUAGAAAUGGGUUGUCGAAAAAAAAAAGAAGGCUGCAAAAAGAGAAAGACGAGAGAUCUGUGCUAUUGAUUGUUGAUGAAGUGUUAGUUUUGGGUAAAAGUUUGAGACUGAGUUUUAUCCAAUUUAGCACCAAGUGACGGAUUUAAUUAACUUGUGUAGUAAAUGUAGCCAUGUAGGGGUUGGGUUAUUGGACAUAAAUUAGGCUAUAGUGUUUUAAGUGCUAGAAUUAUUGAAAUUUAUUUUGAUUUAAAUUGGGGUGUUUGCUUGGCUUUUGGGGUGGAGUUGUUUGGAAUAAGGCAAUCAUCAUAGUUGAAUUUUUCUCCAAACUUUUAUUUUUGGUAGAAAGAGUUUGUUGGCUCUGGUGUUAGAAGAAAAGCAAUCAACAGAGCUCUUUUAUUUUUCCUUUUUAUCUUUUUGACAAAAAGGGUAGUUUAGGAUAUUUGAAGGAAUUGGUAGCCUAUUGGACAUAUUUUGAAGCAUAAAUAGUGAAAGCAAGGUAGGUGUGUGUAAUUUUUGAAACCUAAGGGGAGCUUCUUGUAAUUGUUAGAGACCUCAAGGGAGGUUUAUGAAAUUAUCCCAAUAUAUAAAUUGCAUCAUGUUUGUCUGAAAAUUCAUUUUAGGAAAUUCUUUUUUUACCUGAAAACGCCAUGUGGCUACCAAAUGAAAUAUUUCAAAGAUAAAAAAGACAUUACAUACUCAUGAUUUAUCCAUUUUUUUUUGCCUUUUUUCCUCCUCUGUUUUUGCUUCACCAACAUUCAAACAGCAAAUCCUAGAUCCACCACCAUAGUCCGCAAUUUCCAGAUAACAAACACUAUCAAAUAUUGUUUAAUAUCCAGAAAUUGUAAAUUACGGAGAUUUUGCUACAAAAGCCUCAUUGCUGCCGCUAUAACAAGACAAACGCCGCUAUAGUUUGAUAAGCAUACAGAAUAGAGGAUUUGUAUGCUAAUUAAUUUUCUUUUUGUUUUCUGAAAAAGGAAUAAUAUUAAUCAUUCGAUCAUGCAAUUCUAAUAGUGCUUAAAUAAUUAGAUUAGAUUGUGGUGCGAUUGGUAUAUGUCAGGAAUGAAUUUGCAUCAUUUUGAUAAUGAGCGAUUAAAUAACUACAAAUGCGACUACUUGUAUUUUUUUUUUUUACAAUAUCGCAACACAUCAUCUGUCCCGCUUUUUAUUUCACUCCAUAUCUCAGCUUUUAUUAUAGUGUCAUUUUUCUUUCACAAACAUCUUAUUCUACUUCUUUUUUAUUUCCUUAAGUUCCAAUAACUACUAACAUAUUGUAAAACACAAAUUUAAUCAUACAAAAAAAAAACAAAAUAUCACUAAAAAAAUGAGAUUUUUAUGAUUUUUUUUGUUGUACUUUUUGUUUUUCUAUUAAGGAAAAUGAUCGGUUUCAUUCUUCACAUUUCACAAAAAUAUUCUUUUCAUCCCUCACUUAAAAACCGAAGCAAUAUCGCCCUUGACAUUUAAAAACUGAAGUUCUUACAUCCCUGAACCCAAAUUUCAAUGUGAAUCAAACUACCAAUCAACUUGAUUACAAAUUUUGGGGAUGUAAUUGGUAGAUCACUUGGUUAACUCACCUUGAUAUUCAUGUAAAAUUUAACGAACCCAAAAAUAAAAAAUAAAAAAUUAUAACAUAAAAAAGAAAUAUUAAUCUUUCCUACAUUAUCAUUAUAUACACUGACGGUGACGGUUUUAUGUACCGCCAUAUCAUUUCAAUUUAAAUUUAAACACCAAAUUUUAUAUUUAUGAUACGCAUCUAGAUUCGCAAGCGGAUAUACAAACGGUGUAUGAAAAGAUUUAUCCAAAAAAAAAACUCUACUAUUCCAAGACAAAGAAUGGCCUUUUAUGUUAUAAUUUUUAUUUUUUUUUUGGUUUAAUAAAUGUCAUGUGAAUAUGAUGAAAUUGACUGGGUGAUUUAUCAAUUCUAUUUCCAAAAUUUAUUACUAGGUUAUUGAAUGGUUUGAUUCAGAUUCAAAAUUAGGUUCAGGGAUGUAAUAGUUUUAAUUUUUAAAUGUCAGGGACGAAUUUGCUUCAUUUUAAAAGUAAAGGACGAAAAGAAUAUUUUUGCGAAAUGUGAAGGAUGAAAUAGGUCAUUUUUCCUUUCUAUUGUAUUAUACUUUUUAAUAUGUUGAAUUUUGUGUUUUACCCUUUAGUAGUCAUUGAAACUUUAGGAAAUAAAAUAAAAUAUUUGUAAAGGAGGAAUGACAAAAUAAUUAAAGAUGUGACAUACGAUAAAAGAGGUAGGAUACAGUGGGUCAUAAUAUGCAAAAAAUGGCAAGUAUUAAGCUACUAAAAAUAAAUGGUAGAAAGAAAGUCCACUUUUGGAAGUUUGAAGUCAAUAUAGCAGCUGAGUCAAAAAAAAAAAAGUCAAUAUAGCAGCCUGUAGAUGUGCUGCAAUCCCCUUAGAACCGGGCUCCGUGUCGUCUUCACCCUUCACUAAUUAGCAACUUGAGCACAUUGCAGACAAACCUUUCCUCUUUGCCUUUGGGGUUAGAAGAUGGGAAAACGCGUCUGCUUCUUCUAUACUUUUGGGCUGUAACGCAGCAGCAUUUAGCAACUGUAAUGAAGUUAAUAAAGUUUAACAGAAGGAUAACAUCAAGGUUUUAGACAAUUAUCCUAGAUCCAAACCUUCCAAUUGCCUGAACCAUAAAGGACUUUAACAUCUUUGGCUCCCGGUUUGAGUGCGCUAGGCUCAAAGAUUGGCGAAGAACGUUUGGCACGGUUAAAUUGAAAACCAGCAUUAAAUGGUGACAGUCCAUUUUGUAUCCUUCCAUUUUUUUUUGUUUGGAUCCAUUUUGGUUCUCUUUUGCAUGGGCGCAAUCUGUAGCAAUAGAUGCUGAUGCAGAUCAGCAGAUGGAUGCUUCCAGUUCCAUAUGGGAUGAAUUGUGAUCAAAGUAUUAAUCUAUCCUUAUGGCUUUGUUUCAUGUUUACCUGCUUGGCAAUGAGAAAAGCCAUGCACGGCUUUCUUUAUUUGUUGAGAGACUGAUCACAUCAAAACCAAGAGAUUCAUCACCUCAAACCGCGCAUGAUUUUUAAUUUAUCAAGUCAGUCAAGAAUUGUGUGGUAGCUUUGUGGGCUGGGAAAGUGGGAAUGCGCCAGAAUUUGCAGAUUGGUUGUGGUCCUGUGGAGUGGACCUGCGCGCAUUGCUAGCUUUGAGUGAUUGGAAAAGUCGGGCGAAUGGAUAAAUAUUGAAUACAUGCAUGCAUGAUAUAAAGUCAUUAGCAACCAAUGUCAAAUAGUCAUUGCAGAAGACUUGUGGGUUCCUCUUUGAUGUCUUGGACCAUUUCGAUAUGUGUUCUUUGAACAUAAUUGUGUGCUUAUCAUUAAUGGCAUGAUGGUAUAAUCUUUCUUUCCUGUCUCUUUUUGUUAUGCGCGCAAGAAUGAUCAACAUCGACAAGUUUGCUUGCGGUUGGUUGUUAGAUGCACGAUUUUGAUUUACUUAUUUGUUUUUGGUAAAUAAAAGUUUGAUUUUAAAGGAGAGGAACAUAGUUCAGGCUAAGGCUCUGUUUGGUAUGAUAUAAAGUAUUUUCCUUAAGAAAAUAUUUUCCAUGGAAGUUCUUUUCUGGGAAAAUAUUCACAUUUUUCAAUGUUUUCUGAUGUUUGGUUGAAAUUUUUAACUACAUUUUUAUUAUCAAAAUUCAACUCCUUCCGCCACUCGCUUUUCUCUUCCACUGCUGGAAACCGAUCUUCCUAAUUCCUACCACUAAAAAUAGCAGAACCGCUCAAAAUGGAAUAAUCCAAGUCAGGCAUAAGGACAAUUCGUUGACUCAUAACUAUUGGCGCCAUAAAAGACAUUACCAAGCUAGACAUAUCAAGACCAUGAAAUGGCUGGUGAUUAAGGUCAAUCAAUGAAAGUGAAAGAACAGGCAUAAAUAUCUUCUCAAGUUGAAGAAAUAGGCUCUGUUCUUUUUCAUAUGAUUAGUGCUCUUAUUGACUCGUAUAUGAAAUUUGGUUUAAAGAUCAUAUACUAGCGCUCAAACCACAACCUCAAAGGCAUUAAAAUCCAGGCAAAUUUGAGCUAAAGAUACAUAAUUUUGAUUAAGAAAACAGUGUAAAGAAAAUUAAAAUGACUGAAGAAAGACAGUGGGAAUUGAUAAUAAUCCAAAUUGUUAACAAAUUCGUAGUGUUUGCGUCACCAGUAAAUUCAUCAGCAUCAAAAGCACAAUGUCAAAGAGAUCAGAGUGAGUAGGGUGAGGCCUUUUUUUUUUUUUGAAUAUGCUACAAGCUUUGAAAGUUUGACAAAUACCUUUAAUAGGCGGCCACAUGCGUUUAUAAAAACAAUUUCGAUAAGUCCGGAAGGGAAGUUAUUUUUCACAAGAUGAACAAAAAUCUUUUACACAGUAAAAUAUUUUCAUUAACUUUUGUGCAACCAAAUAAGGGAAAUUAGGAAAAUAUUUUCCUGAAAAAGAUUUCACUUGAAACAAAUGGACCCGAAAUGAUACUCAUAUACAAUAUUUGUUUAAGACCUGUCUGAAUGAAUCAAUGGGUAUGAAAAGCCGAAUCUGAGGGUUUCAUCAUUAGCUAUUUUGCUAGUUAUUCAACUUGAUUAUCCCUUUGUCCUAAUUUUUUUUAUGAAACAAAAUCAAAACAGAAGCAAAAAAAAUUAGUAAAUAAAUUAAAGGGACACGUAUCUCUCUCACCACCUUCUGUUCCCCUUCCCUCUGUCCCCUCAAAAUCGCCUCAAAGCUAUGUACCUAGUUCGUAUCUAUAUCGCUUUAAAUGGAUUUGUGGCCACACAAGUUUCAUUUCAUUCCAUUUCAGAAUAAAAUAAUCUUUUUUAACUUUUGUUGUAGUACCAUAUUUUAAUGCAAUCGGAUCAUAUCUAAUCUUUAAUUAUAUUAUCUUUCCAGCUAAAGGAUAAACUUGCGAGAAAUAGAAUUUGUGAGAGGACUCGUCGUUUAAUUAAAUUUGGCAAGACCAACUUGUGCAGUGAUAUUUGGGAGGAUGAUCCAAGAAAGAGAAUAUAUUAUUAAAGAUAUUCCAAUGAAAGAUACGUUAGGAGAGGCAAGUGUUACCUUUACACAAAAUGAAGUCCCAGAUUUUAAAAAAUUGCUCAGCAAAAACGAACUAAAAUAUUCAUAAACAUGCAAAGAUAAUGUAAGUUUGCAGAAAAUUAUUAUAGGAAAAGAUGCUUUUUUGUCAGCUUUAAUUGAGGAAAAUAAGAAUAUCAUAAGUAGGAAGAGCUACAAUGCUCGAUUCUAUUAUACAAGCAUUGUUGAUCUAGAAAAUGUUGGAUAAGACAUAAAAGAAGGCAUGGGUGCAUUCCGGCUCAAUCUAUCAAAAGGGCCCUCACAGAACAAGGAAAGAAAAAGCAAAAUACCAAUCUGGGCAGCUUGGAUUUAUUGCAAACAGGAUACAAGUCUUACGAUCAAACCAGAAGAGCCAUAAUCAAUACAAUAUUGCAGAAGCUCAACACGAAGCUUCUUUAUUCGGUGCAUAAAACUCUCAAAUCAUACUUGAUGCUAUGCUCACAAUUACCCAAACCAAGUUUUAACUUUUAAUAGUUUUAUUUUUUUUUUCUCUCAAGUUAAAGGAUUUCCACAAAAUCAAUAUUUGACAUACGCACUGGUGGUGUUGACAUCUUUGGCGAGAGUCAAAAGCAGUGGCAUAAGCAAGCACUUCGAAGUGUCUUGCUUGUAGACAAAUCCCUUGCAAUUGCAAUCAUUGGUGCACUUGUCUCUGCAUGCUCCAAAUUCCAUUUCCACUUCUUGACUAUCAGAAGACCACUGGUGGUUCAAGAAGGAUUGCACCCCAUCAAGCUUGAAAUAUUUUGCCUUUGGUUUCUUCCCACACGAGCCCAACUUUGGUGGUUGACAAUUUUCUGUCCAUGCCAAGAGCCCUUUUGGUGUAGGACAUGCCACACACAUCCCAUUUUGGCACAAUCCAAAAUUACCACAUUUUGUCGGCAAAGCACAUGCUGUUGCAAGAUCACUUGGAAAGAAAGUAUAGGUCUGCAUCCAUCUAUCAAAUCUGACUUUGUCAUAGUAAGUAUAAGCCUUGACAUUGCCGUCAGUUUCAAGCCUCAGAAAAGAGUACGUUGCAUUGUAAUUUAGUUUACUGAGUUGUUGAAUCCCGUCAACCUGUGGUUUUGGUGCUGGCGAUUCGAAUAUUUCAAAGAUAAGGUUCCAAGCUAUUGGAGUAGGCUCCCACGUCGAAGGUUGGGUGUUAAACCUUACAGUACUUCCAAAAUUCCCCGGCCAACCAUUGUAGCGAACUUGUUGGCCAGCGUUGUUUAGAUACAAGAGGAGGCCAUCAUCUCCAAGCACUAAGCUGUACUUUCGAUCGGAGCCAUCAACAUCAGAAGUUCGACUGACAAGCUUGUUUACGCCACUCUCGCGAAGGGACUGCCCAACUAGUAACGAAUCAACUGGAUAAUCAAAGCUUUGCCAAAUGAACUUUCCCUUUGUAUCAUACAGCACAAG